ACCUUUUCCGGCUUUUGUUGUUUAAUGCUGAAACUGGAGUAAAAAUAUGCCGCUUGUGCAGAACCGAAACUCUCGUUCUUGGUGAGUAUACUUUAUGUUUUUCAAUUAUAUUCUGUUGAAGAAACUUGUACAUUGGGGGGAAAUUCGCAUGUGCAGUGCAACUUACAUAGGCUGGCGUUUGCACUAUAGACUGUAUGUUACAGCGGAAAAUGUUCAUCUC
rnacentral:lncRNA from 1 species